CGGCGGCCGCGGCGCCGUGUCCGAUGGUGGCCCCAAGUCCAGGGUCCACAGUGGCCGCAGUGUUGGCUCCCAGGCCGUGUCCGAGGCCGUGUCCGAGGCCGGGCCCCAGGCCGGGCUCCACGCCGUUGCCCAGGGCAGCUCCGAGGCCGUGGCCGAUGGUGGCCCCGAGGCCGGGGUCAGUGGUGGCCGCAGGGCCAUGUCCAAGGCUUUGUCCGAGGCUGACCACCAGGCUGUGGUCAGUGGUGGCCGCAGCACCAUGUCCAAGGCUGUGUCCGAGGCUGACCGCCAGGCUGUGGUCAGUGGUGGCCGCAGGGCCGUGUCCAAGGCUUUGUCCGAGGCUGACCGCCAGGCUGUGGUCAGUAGUGGCCGUAGGGCCGUGUCCGAGGCCAGGCCCCAGGCCGGGCUCCACGCCACUGCCCAGGGCAGCUCCAAGGCCGUGGCCGAUGGUGGCCCCAAGGCCGGGGUCAGCAGUGGCCGCAGGGCUGUGUCCGAGGCUGUGUCCGAGGCCGUGUCCGAGGCUGACCGCCAGGCUGUGGUCAGCGGUGGCCGCAGGGCCAUGUCCGAGGCUGACCGCCAGGCUGUGGUCAGUGGUGGCCGCAGGGCCGUGUCCCACGCUGACCGCCAGGCCGACAGCUCCGACGUCGUCGCCCAGGCCGGGCCCCAGGCCGAGGUCCAGGCCGAGGUCGCCGCCGGGGAAGUCGAGGCCGGGCCCGAACGGCUCCGGGGGUCCCGGGGGGGCUUCGGCCGCCAGCUGCUGCCGCAGGCACCAGGCCUCGGCCUCGCUGCGGGGGGACGCGGCGGUCAGCGGCGCUGCGGCCAGCGGCCGGCCCCGAGGGUGGCUGAGACCCGCUGACCGCUGAGUGCUGACCACUGGAUGCUGACCACUGACUGCUGAGUGCUGACCACUGGAUGCUGACCACUGACCACUGAGCACUGACCACUGACCACUGAGCACUGAGCACUGACCACCCACCUCUGAGUGCUGAGCACUGAUUGAUGACCACUGACCACUGACCACUGAGAACUGACCACUGACCAC
rnacentral:lncRNA from 1 species